UUAGUUAAAAACAAUUGUGGAAGCUAGUUGAAAAGUUACCGAAACACAAUUGCUUCUUUCCUCCAACUAAAAAUACACGAUAACUUUGUGGCCUAGUAAGUUUCAUUUUAUCGUCUCAAAAAUAUUUGUUAGCGACACUUUUUUAGCAUGAUCAAUAUCUGCUGUUCAUGACGUAAUGAUUACGUAAUCGUACAAAUGUACAUUUUCACAAUAUUUAAGGAUUUUAAAAGUAGUGAUAAUUCUUCCCCUAAAAAUGGUAAGUACAGAUUAUGGGAAAAAAAUUUCUUAUUCUCAAGAUACGGUGGACUUAUUGGUGAGCGAUCACACAGAAUGCAUUCUCGAUAAUAUCAUGGAAAUUGAAAUGCGGAACUUCGAUUAACGGUGCGUAACUAGCAAACAACAUCACUAAACUUUCGUGGUAGAAAUGUAGCUAGAAUUCCUAUCUACUACAAGAGAAACGAAGGACGUAAUUUUCCGUAUUUCAUAAGAUCGCUUGUAAGUAUCUAUUUGGAAUCAUACAUUUAGAGAAGAUGACUCCCAAUAGACUUGAAAUUAUAAGAGUGUUAUUAAUACCUGAGGACAAAAUAUACAAAUUAAAAGGUUUGCGUAAGAAGUAAGGUGACUGAAUAAUUCUUCUGUCUUGCCUUAAAAAGUAAGAAGGAAAAACGCGAUUUUUGCGGAAUUGGGUCACAGACCGCGGUUUUGCCGCAAGAAACUGGAAAUUAUAGCAACUAUGACCAAGCCUUAGCUUCGAGUAAACAGGAAAACAAACAAACCAAUUCCAUCAAGAGACGAACACAAUUGACGUUACUUCAAAAAUAAUUAGCGAGUCUCAAAGUCCACUUGUUGCCACAAAUUACGUAAAUGGUCUUCCUGAAUAAAUUUCACACACGCAUAAAUAUAACAUCUUUAGAAACGGCUGAGCGCUGGAGUAUUUUGCUUCCUCGAUCUGUAAAUCCUUUGAGACACUGCUUGAUGACGAAGCCUCCAGUUGAAUGGGACAACAGAACUGUUCCGAAGGUCGACUUCUGUGAAAAGCAAUAUUUCUUUUUACAGAAGAGAGGUUUUUUGUCUCAUGACCGGAGAACCAAGGGUGAGACUAGUUGACCAUUGAAACCUGGCCAAUGUGGGGAGGUUUUCACAUGAAAUAAAAAAUGUUGGCAGCUGUGGAGAGGUUUACAUGUAUUGAGUGAGCUUUUACUUUGUGGCUUAGAGGAAGAGCAUCUACAAGACUGAAGGGCUUUGAAUUUCAAUUCCUUGUAUGGAACUCUGAUUUUUUGUUUCCACGUCAUGAUAGAUAAAUUCAUCAAGUCUUACCUGACAUUGUUAUGAGACCACAUCAGCUGAACUUUCCAAGGACUGCUUCGUAAUUUGUGAACGAAAAGCAGCAAUAAAAUUCAUGUCUGUUAUAA